AGUGAACGCUGGCGGUAGGCCUAACACAUGCCAGUCGAACGGCAGCACAGUAAGAGCUUGCUCUUACGGGUGGCGAGUGGCGGACGGGUGAGGAAUACAUCGGAAUCUACUUUUUCGUGGGGGAUAACGUAGGGAAACUUACGCUAAUACCGCAUACGACCUACGGGUGAAAGCAGGGGAUCUUCGGACCUUGCGCGAUUGAAUGAGCCGAUGUCGGAUUAGCUAGUUGGCGGGGUAAAGGCCCACCAAGGCGACGAUCCGUAGCUGGUCUGAGAGGAUGAUCAGACACACUGGAACUGAGACACGGUCCAGACUCCUACGGGAGGCAGCAGUGGGGAAUAUUGGACAAUGGGCGCAAGCCUGAUCCAGCCAUACCGCGUGGGUGAAGAAGGCCUUCGGGUUGUAAAGCCCUUUUGUUGGGAAAGAAAAGCAGCAGGUUAAUACCCCGCUGUUCUGACGGUACCCAAAGAAUAAGCACCGGCUAACUUCGUG
rnacentral:rRNA from 1 species